CACUAGGAAGAAGGCUUAGCAUCCUCACCCUCCACCACCACUGAAAGCUCAUUUCCUCCGGCCAGGUGCUCGCCUCUGUUGCUAUCACAUAUGAUACUUUAAAUUGAUAGAACACACAAAGUCACAUGGGUGAUUCCUAAAUCUUACCAGAAAUGUUGACACUAACAUUUCCCUUUUUUUCUUCAGAAAUAAAGCACUUAUUUUAACCGUAGACUUUCCUGUUAGGAAUGGGAAAAUGUUGGCAGCAUUCCAGCUGGGCAGGAAUUGAAUUCUUGAAUCAGCAGGUCUCUGGUGAGAGUUUUCAUUUCAGAUCAGACAUUUAACUUCAUCAUUAUCCAAAACAGGGUGAGAGUUUUGCCUGAAAAAUAUUAUUCUAGAGAUGUUCUGAAAGUGAGAUUCCUUUCUCCCUGUGUCAAUUAUUGUUCCAGCGUCCACUGCUCCUCAUCUCUUUAUAGAUAACCAUUAGCAACUUGGUGAUCCUUCUCAGCUGAAUGAGAAGGCUUUGGGAGUUAACCUCAGCACUAUGGCCCUCUCACGAAUUAUAGCUUUGGUCAGGAGAGAGGAAGGACAAAGUUAAGAAGGCUAGUGGUGUGUUGUUUUAUAGUUCAUAGAACUCUUUCACACACCUUAAGUCACUGGAUUAGAAGAGUUCUCUCAUUUCCCAGUACCCUAUCUCCGUAUGGUUUGGGUCUUCAGAUUGAAGUGGGGAGGGCAUGGGGAGAUAAGAGAGAGGUCAGACCCCCAGCCUGUCCCUAACCAUUUUAAGUCCUCUGAACUAUAAUCCUGAAUCCAAAUCAUGCUGCACUUGUAAAUAGGGGCAAGUUAUACAUUUGAAA
rnacentral:lncRNA from 1 species